rnacentral:rRNA from 1 species
GUGUCAGCAGCCGCGGUAAUACGGAGGGUGCAAGCGUUAUCCGGAUUCACUGGGUUUAAAGGGUGCGUAGGCGGGUAUUUAAGUCAGUGGUGAAAUCCUAGAGCUUAACUCUAGAACUGCCAUUGAUACUAUUUAUCUUGAAUAUUGUGGAGGUAAGCGGAAUAUGUCAUGUAGCGGUGAAAUGCUUAGAUAUGACAUAGAACACCUAUUGCGAAGGCAGCUUACUACGCAUAUAUUGACGCUGAGGCACGAAAGCGUGGGGAUCAAACAGGAUUAGAAACCCUCGUAGUCC